rnacentral:rRNA from 1 species
CGGGAGGUAAUGUCUGGGAACGUGCCUGAUGAGGGGGAGUAACUACUGGAAACGGUAGCUAAUACCGCAUAACGUCGCAAGACCAAAUGGGGGACCUUCGGGCCUCAUGCCAUCAGAUGUGCCCAGAUGGGAUUAGCUAGUAGGUGGGGUAACGGCUCACCUAGGCGACGAUCCCUAGCUGGUCUGAGAGGAUGACCAGCCACACUGGAACUGAGACACGGUCCAG